rfam:Triticum aestivum genome assembly, contig: Triticum_aestivum_CS42_TGACv1_scaffold_607192_7DL
CAACUACUCCCUCUAUCCAAAAUUUCUUGUCUUAGAUUUUUCUAGAUACAGAUGUAUCUAAUACUAAAAUGUGACUUGAUACAUCCGUAUCUAGACAAAUCUAAGACAAGAAUUUUGGGACGGAGGGACUACUUU